CUUUAACUUUUUUCUUCAAAAGCAAAGAGUCACAAUGUAGGAAUAAAAGAGCCCCAUGUGGCUCUGGAGCCUCAGGUUGCAGACCCCUCAAAUAAAUAAAUCUUCCUCCACGAUUAUUGCUGGAUUUUCAGGAUACAGUCAUGCGCGCGCUCGACCCCCCCUCCUUCUGCAAUGUUUCCUCUUUAAACAUUCCUCUACAAGACAUUCACUUGUUAGUUCCUCCAACAGAAACCCAAAGAAAAAAAACGAUCAAUUGAAUUAGAUAGAAAAGAGCCUAAAAUAAAUGAGCUGUAGAUGUCUUUAGUGAGUGUGGACUCCCCUUGUUACAAAACAUUCUGCUUUUUCAGGGGAACCCAGUGCACUGCAACAAGCUGACAGUCUCUUCCUUUUUUUGGUGCCAAAUCGAGGUGGUUUCUCGGGGAAACUCCUGAGUUUUCCAGCGGAACUCCGACAAGAGUCUUUGGAUUUGAAGCGGCAGCAUCAGCGGGCAUCUCUCUGAAGAAUGGGUUUGGAUCGCUCCAGCUAAAAUGGAGAGGGGCAGAGCGCACGACGGCGCGCCAUGAAGCGCGGUUUCACGGUUUUUUUCACCCUCCCCCCUUUUUUUAUUUUAAAUUGGAAGGUUUCUAGACAUUUUUAGCUCUUUCCACCUGCACAGCCUCUCCAAACCCUGUCGCGCUCGUGAAAAAUGACUUUUCCUUGGAAACUUGGAUACCGUUUCUCGUUUUUCAAUAAUCUUUAGGAUGUUAUUAAAGUGAGGUAUUGGAAAAAAAAACAUUGUAAAAGAAGAUAAAAGUGAAGGGACAAGUGGUUCUCCAAGGCGCACUGCACGCGAGGCUCCAGGUUUGAUGCGCGCAGGUCUCCAUCCCUUCAGCCGCGUCGUGCUGCUGCGUCCACGCCGCCUGUGUCAGCUGCCACGUCAAAAAAAAAUCUUAACCAAAAUGGAAAUUGAAGGGAUCAGCAGGAGUUCCUCGAACGCUGAGGAGAUGCUGUUCGGAUGUUUCCUUUGGGUUUAGAAGGGGGAGAGUCGUCGGAAUAUCAACCUUCUCCCGCGGAUACGCAGCAGAGGCUCUGAAGUUCCAGGGAUCAGGAGAGAAGAAAAAAAAAAAAAGUAGAGCUUACAUUCAAGGAUUUAUCGGCUUUUUCUCUUCCUGAAUUCGUGUGGAUGCGGUCUUCUUUGAUGUCUGAAAAGACAUUUGGAUGGCCAUGACAAGCCAGGAGGAGGAGGGCAUCAGCCUUGCAACAUCAACAUCUACAACACAACCAGCAGCAACAAUCUCCAGGGUAACAACAGUCUCAGCCAGGGUCAGCCGUGAUGUUGCCAUCUUUACCUCGUCGCCCUGCAGGAUCUUCUCUCGCCCAAGUCCUGAGGAAACGGAGGCGGAAAAAAUAGAAGAAAAAGGGAUUAUUCAAGAAGAAAGGAUUGAGGAGGAAGAGAAAGAGCAGGAGGUGGGGGCAGAAUGUGAGCAGGAGGAUGACGAGGAGGACGGCAGCAGUGACACCAGUGUCCUAGUGGUGCCCUAUCCUGAGCUGGUGCCGGUGGUUUUCUUCUGUCUAAAGCAGACAACCUUCCCCCGCAGCUGGUGCAUCCGCAUGGUCUGCAGUCCAUAUCCUUUAAACCGUGAUGGAUGAAUGAUGAGACAGAGGAGUCUCUGCUGUCAGUCAUUGUUUACUCAAUCAACACCCCUCUGAAUGCAAGGAGAGUAAUCACUUUAUUGUAUUUCCAUCAGAUGGUGGUAUUUGUUUUUGUGAAGGGUACAUCAGGGCCAAUCAAGAAGCAACUGCGUGAGCCAAACACACGAUGCGGAAAUGCACACAAAGUACCAAUACGUGUGCAAGAUAAUAUGACAGAUUUCCUAUCAAAAUACUGCUUAAAGUUGUUGGAUUAUUUAGACCAGUCUUUAUAUAUACAGUUCUGUCAGGUGAGAUUUAAGGGGAUGAUCCACCCAUGUUAUAG